rnacentral:lncRNA from 1 species
AAUUUCAGAUUUUAAGUUUUGGAUUUAUGGGGCUUUAUUCAUAAAAAAGGGGGGAUUUUCAACACUUUGGACAAUAACUCAAAAAGGCUUUCACCAAUGUCCAUGAAACUUUGGUGAAUUGUUUAUAUCUAUUGAUGUAAGCUCCCUUUCAAUUUUUAUAAAUUUCAGAUUUUAAGUUUUGGAUUUAUGGGGCUUUAUUCAUAAAAAAAGGGUGAUUUUCAACACUUCGGACAAUAACUCAAAAAGGCUUUCACCAAUGUCCAUGAAACUUUGGUGAAUUGUUUAUAUCUAUUGAUGUAAGCUCCCUUUCAUUUUUUAUAAAUUUCAGAUUUUACAUUUCCGUGUUAUGAAUUUUUAUGCUUAAAAAAG